CUGGCUCAGAACGAACGCUGGCGGCGCGUCUUAAGCAUGCAAGUCGAACGGCAAGAGGUAGCAAUACCUCCUAGAGUGGCGGACUGGUGAGUAACACGUGGGUGACAUACCCUUCAGAUGGGGAUAGCUAUUAGAAAUAGUAGAUAAUACCGAAUACGAGCACAGGGGUUAGAGAUCUGUGAGGAAAGGAGCUAAGGCUCCGCUGAAGGAAUGGCCUGCGGCCCAUUAGCUAGUUGGUGGGGUAAGAGCCCACCAAGGCGAUGAUGGGUAUCCGGCCUUAGAGGGUGAACGGACACAUUGGGACUGAGAUACGGCCCAGACUCCUACGGGAGGCAGCAGCUAAGAAUAUUCCGCAAUGGACGAAAGUCUGACGGAGCGACGCCGCGUGGAUUGAAGAAGGCCGGAAGGUUGUAAAAUCCUUUUGAAACUGAAGAAUAAGCGUUGUAGGGAAUGACAGCGUGGUGACAGUAGGUUUUGAAUAAGCAACGGCUAAUUACGUGCCAGCAGCGGC
rnacentral:rRNA from 1 species